UCCCCUACCUUCCUUCUUACAUCAUCAAAAAUACUACUCCAUUUUCAGAGUUUUGUUUUUGUUGAAUUGGGUAUCAAAUGGGGCGUUCAACUUGGAAGUAUCAAGUCUUCUUUUUGUUCUGUUUGAUCUUGCAUUCUCAACUUCCCUUUCCAUCGUCUCUCUCUUCUUCCUUGUCUUCAAUGCCACCAUGCUCUGCUCUACUCCAUUUUAGUAAGUCUUUUUCUCUUGACAAAUCUGCUUCUGCCUAUGAUCCUUCUUAUCCAAAAACAGCCAGUUGGCAGGAGGAUAAGCACUGUUGCACUUGGGAUGGGGUCGAGUGUGACAAAAACAAAAGCCAUGUGGUUGGCCUGGACCUUACUUCCAGCUGGCUUAUGGGCCACUUUCAUUCCAACAGUACCCUGUUUUUUCUUCCCAAUCUCAGGAGGUUGAACCUCGCUGACAAUAACUUCAAUUUCUCCCGAAUUCCUUCUGAGAUUGGCAACUUUAAGAGUUUGACUCAUCUUAACCUUUCUAAUUCUGUAUUUUCUGGCCAAAUCCCGUUUGAAAUCUCUCAGUUGUCUUCACUGGUUUCGCUUGCUCUUUCUUGGAAUGAGCUAUUAAUCGAAACUCCAGUAUGGAAAAGAGUCAUUGGUAACCUAACUCAGUUAAGGGAACUUAUUCUGGAUAGGACAAAUAUGUCCUCAAUUAGACCUAAUUCUUUGAUGAAUCUAUCCUCCUCUUUGACAACUCUUAGUCUCCGUUACUGUGACUUGCGGGGAAAACUCGAAAAUAACAUCCUCUUCCUUCCCAGUAUACAAACCCUUGAUCUGUCAGAUAAUAGUUUUAACGGUCUGUUGCCGUCAUCACUAUUCAACUUGCCGAAUCUCUCAACUUUAGACCUUCGGUACAAUCAACUUGUUGGUCCCCUUCCUAAUCACGUAAGUGGUUUGAAUCUAGUUGAUCUCUAUUUAAGUUCAAAUUUCCUAAAUGGAACACUGCCAUCUUGGUUGUUCAGUAUGCCAUCUUUGGAGACUUUGUAUCUUAAUCGUAAUCAGUUUGUUGGUGAGAUUGGUGAAUUCAAGUACAAUUCAUUGAAGGAUCUUGAUUUGGGUUAUAAUAAGCUACAUGGCUCUAUACCUAGGUCAGUAUCUAGACUUGUGAACCUUACUAGCCUAUCUCUCUCAUCAAAUAACUUGAGUAUUAUGUUGGGGUCUGAAAUGUUUUCAAAGCUCAAAAAUCUUGAGACUUUUGAUUUGUCAAAAAACUCAGUUAGCAUCAAUAAUAAUGUUGCCUAUGCCCUGCCCAAUCUUCAAUAUUUGAACUUGGCUUACUCCAAUAUCAGUGAAUUCCCAAUUUUCUUAAGACUGACAACAAAUUUACAAUCCUUAGACCUUUCCAAUAACCAAAUUUAUGGUCGAGUUCCAAGAUGGUUGGGGGAUGUGGGGAAGAAUUCAUUUAAUUAUGUUGAUCUUCGUAACAACUUGCUACAAGGACCAUUUCCCAUUCUAAAUUCUUCCAAUCUGCAAUUUAUCUUUUUCUCCAAUAACAAUUUAACAGGAGAAAUCCCUUCUUUAAUUUGCGAUGCAAUUUACCUUCGAGUUUUAGACUUGUCUCAUAACAACUUAAGAGGCAUGAUUCCUAAGUGUUUGGUAAACUUUACUGCCCUCUCAGUGUUAGAUUUGCGAAUGAAUAGCAUUCAUGGUACUAUCCCUACAAUAUUUGCCAAAGGAAAUAAUUUUAGGAAUAUUAACCUUAAUGGCAAUCAAUUGGAAGGGCCAUUGCCGCAAUCUUUGGUCAGUUGUACAGACUUGGAAGUUCUAGAUCUUGGAAACAAUAAGAUAAAUGGAGCCUUUCCUUACUGGUUGGGAAGUCUUCAGAAAUUGCAAGUUCUUGUCAUCAGAUCAAACAGAUUUCAAGGUCGUAUUCGCAAUCCUAAAACCAAAUUUCCUUUCCCAAAUUUGCGAAUCAUAGACAUCUCUAACAAUCAGUUUAAUGGUCCUUUGCCAAUAACAUAUUUUGAAUAUUUGAAAGCCAUGAUGAAUGUGGAUGAAAGUGGAGUUGCAAGGUCAUAUAUGGGAGAUAGUUAUUAUCAAGAUUCAUUGAAUAUCAUGAUGAAAGGGCAGUAUAUUGAGAUGGAGAGAGUCCUAACCAUCUUAACAAGCAUUGAUUUUUCAAACAAUAGUUUCGGAGGAGAGAUGCCAAAGAUAAUUGGAAGGUUUAAAUCACUCAAGGGGCUCAACUUUUCUUACAAUAACCUUAUAGGUUAUAUUCCAUCAUCAAUUGGAAAUUUGACCAAUCUUGAAUGGUUAGACCUCUCUUUCAACAAGCUCAGUGGGGAGAUUCCAAGUCAAUUGACAGAUCUAAUAUCACUUGAAGUCUUAAAGCUAUCAAAUAACCAACUCACAGGACCCAUACCUUCAGGAAAUCAAUUCAAUACAUUCAACAAUGAUUCGUACACCGAAAAUUUGGGAUUGUGUGGAUUUCCAUUGUCAAAAACAUGCGACAACCACAAGGCAAAGCAACAACCACCACCUACCUUGCAACAAGAUGAAAAUUUAGAGCAUGAAAAUGGGUUUUGUUGGCAAGCUGUAUCCAUUGGUUACGCAUGUGGAACAAUAUUCGGAAUGUUUAUGGGAUAUCUUAUGUUCAAAAUUGGAAAACCAAAGUGCCUUGUGAGGAUGGUCAAAUUAGAGCAGCAUAUCCUACUCAGAAGAUUGAAGAAGAAUGCCCACAAACAUGGUGGAAGAAGAUAACUGCUUCUAUGUUAAUUCUGAUAGUUGGUGUUGGAGGCCCAAAAUUUCCUCCACCUUGGAUGGGAGCUAGACAGAAUAGUAACAGUUAACCAAAUCCCAUAAUUACAGCUGAUUGGAAACCCCUUAAUUGAGCUGAUUGGGAAUCCCUUAAUUGAGCUGAAUACUCCCCCUCAAGGUGGAGCAUGUACAUGAGUAACGCCCAGCUUGCUGAUAAGAUGAUGAAAAGAAUCCUUACCCAAAGGCUUGGUAAAAAUGUCAGCAAUUUCGGUCACGGGAUCGAAUAUGACAAGUUUGGUAUGAAAAAAUAAAUAAAAUGUACAAGACGGGAUGUGCCCAAUAGGAAUUGGAAGCUCCAGUAAAAUUGCAGUGGAGAUGGUUUGGUGCUUAAUUUGGAAGGCAAAGGUCUCUAAUAAAGUUAAGAUGUUUGCAUGGAGAGCAUGUCAUAACAUUCUACCUGCAUGUGCCAAUCUAGUGAACAGAAGGGUUCUAACGCAGCCAUGAUGUCCAAGCUGCAAAUUGAAUGAGGAUGACAUGAUGCAUGUAUUAUGGAAUUGUGAAGAGGCACAAAGAAUUUGGUGCUGCAGAAAAGAGGUAAUUAGAGCUUGAAUUCCUAGACUUCGUUAGAAUAUUUUGGCCUGUAUUGGAGGAGGGCUGUGACAACACUGUGGAGCAAUUCCUGAUACUGUCCUGGAUGAUUUGGAAGGCAAGGAAUAAGUGGGUCUUUGAGCAGUCUACAAAACAGCCAAGUGUCAUAGCAGGUGAGGCUAUAGAAUUUUGGCAGGAAUUUCAAGCAGUCUGCAACUCAGGUAGUUCAACAACUCAAGCUGUAACAGGCCAACGUAUUAAUCUCACAUUGCAUUGGAAUCCUCCCUGUAAACCUAUGUACAAGGAAUAUUUUGAUGGUGCAGUUUUUGAGGAUUUACAUAGUAACAGGAGCGGGAGUCAUAAUCCGGAAUGAACAAGGAUUGCUCAUUGCAGUAAUGAGCUGAAAAGGAAGACCAGUUAUGGAGAGCUUUGUAGCAGAACUUGAGGCUGCAGUCCAAACCAUUCGGUUUGCUCGUGAUGUUGGCAUACAGAGGGGACAAGUUUUAGUGGGGGAUUAUAGCAAAACUUCAGGAACACGGAAACUGUGAGUUUUGGUGGGCUAACGUUGUGAAGGAAGCUAAAUUUCAUCUGCAACGUUAACAUGUUCAGCAAUGGGAAGUUCGUUAUACUAGAUACUUAUUUUGGCAAGAUGUGCACAUAAUAUUGAAAAUUAUGUAACUUGGAUAGAAGAGGCCCCAUUAUUUUUGUUUGAACGGUUGAACAAUGAUGUACUGGGUUUGAAUGUUUCAACAUGCUACUUGUUUGGUUUUCCAAGGAAAAAAUGGAAGCAUAAAUGGAAGCAUAUCACAUUAAUUCUACU